rnacentral:rRNA from 1 species
GCCGACGACCAAAUCACCCAGAAUAUGCCCAAUAUGAUCAGAUCUCAGAAGCUUAGCAGGUUACAGCCUGGCUAGUGCCUGGAUGGGCAACCACCAUGCAGGGAAUCAGUGGUGGUAGGCU